AGGCUUUUUGUAAUGAUUGUUUAAAAAAAUAAAUGUGUUCUUAUCAGUAUAAUAUCUGAUAGGACCCCCAUAGGGGGACCACAUCUAUAUUAAAUGGAUUUUUGUAAGCGGGAGGUGGAAGUGAGGCUUGCUCCAUCCACUCCACGCAUCGACCCGGUGCUGCAGUACCUCCGGGAACGGUGCACAACUC